rnacentral:rRNA from 1 species
UACAGAGGGUGCAAGCGUUGUCCGGAAUUAUUGGGCGUAAAGAGCUUGUAGGCGGUCUGUCGCGUCUGCUGUGAAAAUCCGGGGCUCAACCCCGGACUUGCAGUGGGUACGGGCAGACUAGAGUGUGGUAGGGGAGACUGGAAUUCCUGGUGUAGCGGUGAAAUGCGCAGAUAUCAGGAGGAACACCGGUGGCGAAGGCGGCCGGCUGGGCCGGAUCCGACGCUGAGGCGCGAAAGCGUGGGGAGCAAACAGG